AUACAAACUAGUAUAUUAAGGAUUAACGUCUAUUAUAUUGACCCGGUAUAUUUUAGUAGAAAAAUUAUCGAGUAACGAAUAAAAGGUACGCUAGGGAUAACAGGCUAAUGAAUUUUGAGAGUUCUUAUUGAUAAAUUCGUUUGGCACCUCGAUGUCGGCUUAUCACAUCCUAGUAAUGUAUAAGUUAUUAAGGGUUCGGCUGUUCGCCGAUUAAAGUGGUACAUGAGCUGGGUUUAGAACGUCGUGAGACAGUUUGG
rnacentral:rRNA from 1 species